UAAUUCUGAAGUUAUGCUCUAAG
rnacentral:miRNA from 1 species